ensembl:lncRNA BIRC6-AS1 BIRC6 antisense RNA 1
AGUAAAGGAAGCCUGGAAUGCUGGAAGAUCUACAAACAAUAUUAUCUGAACAACAGUUACAGCUGUGAUUAAAGUACAAAGAGAAAAAAAACAGUAGAUUUAACAGUAAACUAGGUGGAGGAAGGGAUAGAAGCUAAACAGCAUUUCACUGUAGUAGGAAAAACACUGACUUGAGAGUUAAUAAGUGUUCAAGUAUUUUAUUGUAAUUCUUUAAUUGUUUGUUAAACCUAAACAUAGUUUGAUAGUGUUUUUUUGCUGCUGAUUAUAUAUCCUGAUAUCAGCUGGUUUAUAUUCCUUAAAUUAGGGAAAAAUGUUCAAUUUUUUCAAAUGGUUUUUCAAAGUUUCUACUUGUUCAAAUCAAGUAGAACUAAUUAAUUCUCUAUCCAAAGAUUUUAGACAUGCCUCCAGACCCAAAUACUCUGAUGAGAAAAAGACAGCUUCUCUGUUUUUGGAACUCAAACUUUCAGCAACAUGCUUUCAAUAUUAACAUAUAAUAGACUACUGUUAUAUGACACUAAAUGUAAAAUCUAAGUGAAUAUACUUUAUUGGACAUACUUUUUUGAUAACUUUCAUAACAAGUUAGCAUGAACACAAAUAAUAUCUCACUUUAUUAUAGAACACAACAUAAUCUUUUACAUUCUAUUUAAGGUCCUUCCUACACCCUACUGCAUAAUCAUCCACAAAUAUAACUUUAUCC